rnacentral:rRNA from 1 species
UGCUUAACACAUGCAAGUCGAACGCAACCUUCGGGUUGAGUGGCGGACGGGUGAGUAACGCGUGAGAAUCUGCCUUGGGGUCGGGGACAACCACUGGAAACGGUGGCUAAUACCGGAUAAGCCUUUGGGUAAAAGAUUUAUUGCCCCAAGAGGAGCUCGCGUCUGAUUAGCUAGUUGGUGAGGUAAAAGCUCACCAAGGCAGCGAUCAGUAGCUGGUCUAAGAGGACGAUCAGCCACACUGGGACUGAGACACGGCCCAGACUCCUACGGGAGGCAGCAGUGGGGAAUUUUCCGCAAUGGGCGAAAGCCUGACGGAGCAAGACCGCGUGAGGGAGGAAGGCUCUUGGGUUGUAAACCUCUUUUCUCAGGGAAGAAGCUCUGACGGUACCUGAGGAAUCAGCCUCGGCUAACUCCGUGCCAGCAGCCGCGGUAAUACGGAGGAGGCAAGCGUUAUCCGGAAUUAUUGGGCGUAAAGCGUCCGCAGGUGGCGAUUCAAGUCUGCUGUCAAAGCACGGGGCUUAACUCCGUUAAGGCAGUGGAAACUGAAUAGCUAGAGUGCCGUAGGGGUAGAGGGAAUUCCCGGUGUAGCGGUGAAAUGCGUAGAGAUCGGGAAGAACAUCGGUGGCGAAAGCGCUCUACUGGACGGCAACUGACACUCAGGGACGAAAGCUAGGGGAGCGAAUGGGAUUAGAUACCCCAGUAGUCCUAGCUGUAA